AGCCUGAUGCAGCAACGCCGCGUGAGGGAUGACGGCCUUCGGGUUGUAAACCUCUUUUAGUAGGGAAGAAGCGAAAGUGACGGUACCUGCAGAAAAAGCACCGGCUAACUACGUGCCAGCAGCCGCGGUAAUACGUAGGGUGCAAGCGUUGUCCGGAAUUAUUGGGCGUAAAGAGCUCGUAGGCGGUUUGUCGCGUCUGCUGUGAAAUCCCGAGGCUCAACCUCGGGCUUGCAGUGGGUACGGGCAGACUAGAGUGCGGUAGGGGAGAUUGGAAUUCCUGGUGUAGCGGUGGAAUGCGCAGAUAUCAGGAGGAACACCGAUGGCGAAGGCAGAUCUCUGGGCCGUAACUGACGCUGAGGAGCGAAAGCGUGGGGAGCGAACAGGAUUAGAUACCCUGGUAGUCCACGCCGUAAACGUUGGGCGCUAGAUGUAGGGACCUUUCCACGGUUUCUGUGUCGUAGCUAACGCAUUAAGCGCCCCGCCUGGGGAGUACGGCCGCAAGGCUAAAACUCAAAUG
rnacentral:rRNA from 1 species